rnacentral:misc_RNA from 1 species
UGCUGUCUGUGUGUCUGGAGGACUACUGGGCAGCUUAUGAUAGAACUGGAGAAGUGCAAAAAUUUGCUGAUAGAAGUGCAUCUGAUCAGGCAGCAUCUUUGUUUAGUAAAGGUGGAAUGGGUUCAUCCAUCAUAUUGGACGUGAAAGAGAAGCCAAUAUAUCAAUAUAGAUCCAGAUUGAAUCAGGCCACCAGCUCUGCUGUGAUGGACCCUGUGACACUGGUGGAGUCGGAAUGCUCUACUGCACCCAAACCAAUGCAUGAAAAUUUACUAAGAAAAUCUACGACCAAGCUGAUAUCUGCAAGUGUUGAUUUCUGGAUGGGUACUGAAUUGCUCUUUACAGACGUAUCGGAUGCUUUAGAGCUACUUAUAAAGCAGUUGAAAG